rnacentral:misc_RNA from 1 species
UUAAGUUCAGCGGGUAGUCCUACCUGAUUUGAGAUCAAACGUUCAAAAAGCUGUCUUCGCUGAGGAGAGACAUUUGUGAGCCCCAGCGAACCUCCAUUGCUGAAGGUUAUCUGGUGGAAAACCGCAAGCGUAGAUAGUUAUCACACCUGCGACGCCACCAAACACUGGCAAGCUGAUCCAUUUUAGAGGAGCUGACCAUA